UACGGAGGAUCCGAGCGUUAUCCGGAUUUAUUGGGUUUAAAGGGUGCGUAGGCGGCCUAUUAAGUCAGGGGUGAAAGACGGUAGCUUAACUAUCGCAGUGCCCUUGAUACUGAUGGGCUUGAAUGGACUAGAGGUAGGCGGAAUGAGACAAGUAGCGGUGAAAUGCAUAGAUAUGUCUCAGAACACCGAUUGCGAAGGCAGCUUACUAUGGUCUUAUUGACGCUGAGGCACGAAAGCGUGGGGAUCAAACAGG
rnacentral:rRNA from 1 species